AACGAACGCUGGCGGCAUGCCUAACACAUGCAAGUCGAACGAGAACUUCGGGGCUAGUGGCGCACGGGUGCGUCACGCGUGGGAAGAUGAACUUAGGUUUGGAAUAACUCUACGAAAGGGGUGAUAAUACCGGAUAAUGUCUUCUGACCAAAGAUUUAUCGACUUUGUUGGUGCCCGCGUUGGAGUAGCUAGUUGGUAGGGUAAAAGCCUACUAAGGCGAGGAUCCAUAGCUGGUUUGAGAGAAUGAUCAGCGACACUGGGACUGAGACACGGCCCAGACUCCUACGCGAGGCAGGAGUGGGGAAUAUUGCACAAUGGGCGAAAGGCUGAUCCAGUAAUGACGCGUGAGUGAUGAAGGCCUGAGGGAUGUAAAGCUCUUUUACCCGGGAUGAUAAUGACAGUACCGGGAGAAUAAGCCCCGGCUAACUCCGUG
rnacentral:rRNA from 1 species